rnacentral:rRNA from 1 species
UCCUGGCUCAGAUUGAACGCUGGCGGCAGGCUUAACACAUGCAAGUCGAGCGGGGAAAGGUAGCUUGCUACCUGACCUAGCGGCGGACGGGUGAGUAAUGCUUAGGAAUCUGCCUAUUAGUGGGGGACAACAUCUCGAAAGGGAUGCUAAUACCGCAUACGUCCUACGGGAGAAAGCAGGGGACCUUCGGGCCUUGCGCUAAUAGAUGAGCCUAAGUCGGAUUAGCUAGUUGGUGGGGUAAAGGCCUACCAAGGCGACGAUCUGUAGCGGGUCUGAGAGGAUGAUCCGCCACACUGGGACUGAGACACGGCCCAGACUCCUACGGGAGGCAGCAGUGGGGAAUAUUGGACAAUGGGGGGAACCCUGAUCCAGCCAUGCCGCGUGUGUGAAGAAGGCCUUUUGGUUGUAAAGCACUUUAAGCGAGGAGGAGGCUACCGAGAUUAAUACUCUUGGAUAGUGGACGUUACUCGCAGAAUAAGCACCGGCUAACUCUGUGCCAGCAGCCGCGGUAAUACAGAGGGUGCAAGCGUUAAUCGGAUUUACUGGGCGUAAAGCGCGCGUAGGUGGCCAAUUAAGUCAAAUGUGAAAUCCCCGAGCUUAACUUGGGAAUUGCAUUCGAUACUGGUUGGCUAGAGUAUGGGAGAGGAUGGUAGAAUUCCAGGUGUAGCGGUGAAAUGCGUAGAGAUCUGGAGGAAUACCGAUGGCGAAGGCAGCCAUCUGGCCUAAUACUGACACUGAGGUGCGAAAGCAUGGGGAGCAAACAGGAUUAGAUACCCUGGUAGUCCAUGCCGUAAACGAUGUCUACUAGCCGUUGGGGCCUUUGAGGCUUUAGUGGCGCAGCUAACGCGAUAAGUAGACCGCCCUGGGGAGU